GCACUCUGUAGAAACAAAGAUACAGGCUAGCGGCGGACGGGUGAGUAACACGUGGGUAACCUAGCCCCAAGAGAUCGGGGAUAACACCUGGGAAACAGAUGCUAAUACCGGAUAACAACAGAUGAUGCCUAUCAACUGUUUAAAAGAUGGUUCUGCUAUCACUCUUGGGAUGGACCUGCGGUGCAUUAGCUAGUUGGUAGGGUAACGGCCUACCAAGGCGAUGAUACAUAGCCGAGUUGAGAGACUGAUCGGCCACAUUGGGACUGAGACACGGCCCAAAACUCCUACGGGAGGGCAGCAGUAGGGAAUCUUCCACAAUGGACGCAAGUCUGAUGGAGCAACGCCGCGUGAGUGAAGAAGGGUUUCGGCUCGUAAAGCUCUGUUGUUGGUGAAGAAGGACAGGGGUAGUAACUGACCUUUGUUUGACGGUAAUCAAUUAGAAAGUCACGGCUAACUACGUGCCAGCAGCCGCGGUAAU
rnacentral:rRNA from 1 species